UGGUGAGGUAACGGCUCACCAAAUCUACGAUGGAUAGGGGUUCUGAGAGGAAGACCCCCCACAUUGGGACUGAGACACGGCCCAAACUCCUACGGGAGGCAGCAGUGAGGAAUAUUGGUCAAUGGACGAGAGUCUGAACCAGCCAAGUAGCGUGAAGGAUGACUGCCCUAUGGGUUGUAAACUUCUUUUAUAGGGGAAUAAAAUGCACCACGUGCUGGUGUUUUGUAUGUACCCUACGAAUAAGGAUCGGCUAACUCCGUGCCAGCAGCCGCGGUAAUACGGAGGAUCCGAGCGUUAUCCGGAUUUAUUGGGUUUAAAGGGUGCGCAGGCGGACUGAUAAGUCAGCUGUGAAAGUUUACGGCUCAACCGUGAAAUUGCAGUUGAAACUGUCAGUCUUGAGUACACAUGAGGUGAGCGGAAUUUGUGGUGUAGCGGUGAAAUGCUUAGAUAUCACAAGGAACUCCAAUUGCGAAGGCAGCUCACUGGGGUGUAACUGACGCUCAUGCGCGAAGGUGUGGGUAUCAAACAGGAUUAGAUACCCUGGUAGUCCACACAGUAAACGAUGAAUACUCGCUGUUUGCGAUAUACAGUAAGCGGCCAAGCGAA
rnacentral:rRNA from 1 species